UUUAUGGCUUCCGUGGAGUGAGACAAGCAGGUGGUAACCAGGGGCUCCUCACCACUGGGCCCAAUGGGGUUAGGGGCAGAAGAGCCAAGACCCUGGCUGCAGUCCAAGAGAGGUCACCAAUAACAUCAUUUUGGAAACACCUUUUCAUUGGACAUUGAAGGUUCAUGCCGAGGCAGCCCCUAUAACCUUUUAUUCUGUAAUUCCCAUUGAUUUCUAUCUUUUACUACCCAUGUUGUUCUGGCGGCUUUGUGAGGCUUAUUCUGCCUUACUUCUGGUGCACUAUCUCUUGAAAACAAAAGCCACAGUAUAUGCAUCUGAGACAGAGAUUCACAAGGGACCUUUCUACUAGAAAAAGAGAAGAUGGUGCUGACACAUACUUGCUUGAAUUUACUAAUGAGGAUUCUGAGAAGGAAACGACUCUGACCAGUGCAAGACAGAA
rnacentral:lncRNA from 1 species